UUUCUAUUUUCUUCCCUGUAGGUCUGGCAGCAGGUGUGGAGGUGGUCUCCCUGACAUGUCUCCAUCAUGAUACUGGAACAAAAGCCAAGGUGGAUCCUGGGUGUCUGGCAGCCUGUCAGAUUUGUCAUCGAUUCAAAUAAUUGAUGGUGCCACAGAUGAUCCUUUUCUGGCAACCUUAACCAAUAACCUUUCCUUGGCACAAGACUGAAGUAUCAUUGAAGAAAUUUGAAGCCUCCCACUGGGUAAAAGUUUCCUCACCCUGAAAAUGUGCUUCUCUUCUGAGAGUAAACAUGCUUCAGGCUUUACAAUAUUGCCGAAGGGAGUCUAUGACACAAUGAAGAUCAAGAACCUGUGUUUCUACUCAUUUUGAGAAGAAUGGUCUCUCUUGGCUUCAGACAAAGCAAAGAAACCUGACACCAGCUGGGCAAGCCAAGGAAGCAGUGGUUGUCAAGGAGAUUGUUGGUUCUCGCUAAUCAGAAAGUGAAUGUCAGCCAGAAGUACCAA